UACGUAGGGUGCGAGCGUUAAUCGGAAUUACUGGGCGUAAAGCGUGCGCAGGCGGUUUUGUAAGCCAGAUGUGAAAUCCCCGGGCUUAACCUGGGAAUGGCAUUUGGGACUGCAAGGCUUGAGUGCGGCAGAGGUGACUGGAAUUCCUGGUGUAGCAGUGAAAUGCGUAGAUAUCAGGAGGAACACCGAUGGCGAAAGCAGGUACCUGGACCAUUACUGACACUCAGCUGCGAAAGCUAGGGGAGCAAACAGG
rnacentral:rRNA from 1 species